GGCUCGGUGGCGGAUGGUCCGCGUCUGCGGCAUGUGGCGAAGUAAGGCCGCCGUCAUAAACCUUACGCGGGAGAUCGCUCGUUCGAAUCGAGCCCGAGCCA